CUCUUUUCCUGUGGAGCGGUGGCGGCGGCGGUAAGGGGUCGGCAGGGCGGAUGAGCGCGGCGCUGUGCGAGUAGAGCUGAGGGGCACCUGAGCUUGUUGGUUCGCUCUUGGACGUCCGGGGGGCACCGCGUCGCGAUGCCGCGUGUUUGUUUGAAGCUGGAGCAAGCGGUAUGAAGGAGAAGCUUUCAGUGGUGUCCAAUAUGUUGUACAGAAGCAUUAAGCCCAUCAUGGAAGCACCAUUGGAACUAGAGGAGUAUUUGGUACACACAAGUGGAUUUUCCUGAAAGCUGUGAUGGUGUAUGAACAGUUUUUAAUAAUGGAAAAAAAGUUGAACAUUGUGAUGAAAGAUGUCCUGGCAACUGUACUACAACAGAUAGAGGGAUGCUUGAAGGCUGCUUCUUGAAGCAGGAAAAUGGUCACAACUGUACAGACAAAUGCUUUAAUUUGUUCAGUGAGUUGGAACGUUUUUGUCAGUGCUGCUUGACAAAUGUGGAUGAUCUGUAACUGGAAGAAAGUGUAACACCUGAAGAGAUGUUCUCGCUUGGAGUGGGACCAUGCUUUUAAAAUCCUGCUGAAACAGUUGUUGAAAUUGUUUAGCAGAUACCGUUAUCAAAAACUGCACGUGAACCAAAAUUACUGUCUCUGCAUACUUAAAAUAAUGCUUCUCUCAAAACAUCAAACUGCCCCCUUUGGGAAGGAUAACAGUAGCAGUAGGGAAAUGAGUGGUGAGCUUCAAUAUAUGAAAAAGAAACAGACUAUUGGCCCUUAGGAAAUGUAAGGGUAUGCAGACUUUGAUACUGAGCAUCUGUAAUAACUCAAAACAAUGGAAGUUGCAGGUAGGCCAUGCAGCAUUGAUACAUAAAUUCAAACUACUGAGUGCUCCUUGAUGAUGUCAUGUGGGAGAUUGAAGGAGGUAGAUGAGGUGGUGUGGAAGCAUCAACAUGAAGCACCUGUAGAAAGAAACGCUUGAAAUUUCAGGUGGCGUGAGGAAGUUGUGGUUACAGAAAAAGCAUAGACUAAAGCUUUCAUUUUCUUCUGCAUCUAGAUGGGGAGAGAAGGAAAAGGGAGUUUUCAUGAGCUGCCAAUUUAGCAUGGAAAGACCAGUAUCGGAACUGGAACUGUGCCCACUGAAGAAGACAUUGGCAGUGUUAUCUGUUCCCAGUGUGGGAGGAAAAGGAAUAGAAACAUUGGAAGUUUUGCUUGCCAGCAGUCACUAACCACACAGUAACAUCUUAACAUUGUAUUUGUUGUAUUAAGCAGAUCAUCUCUCUUCCACUGAGGAAGAGAGGGAUUGUAAAUUGGUUUUCUGAGUAAGUUGCCUUUAAAGACAAAUUAUGCACGGAAGAUGCAAUCCACCUUAAGGUGUGGCUCUUGUACUGCCUUCUCAGGAAUGCUUUAUAAAGGAGGGAAUGUGACAACUGCGUGGUAGCCAAUGAUCAGUAGUGCUGUGGUUACUGAAUGAUUUUGGAAUGUACCGAAAUAAGGAAACAGCCCUGUAGUCUGCAGCCAAAAAUGACAGCAUUGGAUGCUAGCAGUUAACUUUCUCUAGGGAUCUGAAAGAACUUAAUGAAAUGCACUUAUUUCUAAACACCAAAUACUUGAAAGGCCCAUUUUCCUACCAGUGCAGCACCGCAGAAGUGCAGAACACUAAGUAGCAGCAUCUGAAGCAUUGGGAAGAUCAGAAAUAAAGUGCCUGACUACAAAGCCAUACAGUAAUGAUGUGACUGAACUCCAGGAGUGACUUGGCUUACUGCAUAACCUCUGCUUUGGUUUUUCAGUAAUAACCAGCUGCUUUGGCUGGUCAGAGGCUGCUUCUCAGUGAGUUAACUAUGUAAAUCAGUCUAUUGAAUGUAUCAUCAGAAGCUGCAGAAUUUUACUACAGAAAACCUUCCCUUGGUGGCUUUAAUCAGGAUUUAUUACAUGUUAAUGUUGCUGAGAAGGGUAGGUAUUUGCUAUGUUUUGUACAUGCUCUUUCUUGAAUAAAGACGAGGAUGUGGAAAAC
rnacentral:lncRNA from 7 species